AGCAGUUUCUGUCCAUUUGUUGGGUCUAAACAUUUGCUUUUGACUCUUUCAGCUGCUUCUUGUGUUUUUGGGAGCACUGUCAUAAUUGACUCUUUUUUGUGAGCAUAUCAUAUCCUCAGAUAUAUUGUCAGGCCUUGAGGCCUCUCUUUGACCUGAGUCCUAAUUUGGGCCUGUUGCUGGACCCCCUUUUCCUAAAGCUCUUCUCCAUAUUUUUCCUGAAGUAUUUUCAGAGAGGAACAAUUCUGGGUCAGAGUUUUGACUGUAGGAUGGAAAUCCCAUCCUUCCCAUGAGGCCCAGUAUUUCUACUGGCGGUUGGCUCUACUAGUUCUGUUUCCCAACUGUAGGAUAUUUUACCAAAGGUGACUCGCUUUGAGUCCUUAGAAUCUCUCACCUCCCAGAUUUUUGGUAUUCUAGGACCACCCCCCACCUCCUGUGGUUGCCUGUUUCCAUUCUUUCUGAUGGAGUUCAGUACCUCAGUCCUGUUCUCCCCAUCCAGUACCUGAUCAUGUUCCCCUAUUCCCCUCCCUUUCCUCUUUUCCACCAAGAUCCCUCACUCCCCGUCCUGGGAUUGCUUUUUCUACCUCUCAUGUGGAAUUGAGGCAUCUUCACUUGCGUUCUUCAGCUUGUAAACUUUUUGGAUUGUAUUAUGGGUAUUCUGUACCCAUAUUUUUGGCUGAUAUCUACUUUGCAGCUUGCUUAUAGUAUCAGAUACCUAUUUUACUCUGGGUCUUAUAAUCUAUGUAUGCAUUUUCUGAACUGCUGUCACAUUCUUGAAAUAGUCAUGAGUUUUUAGAAUUCAUGAAUCAGGUUAGAAACAGCACUAUCAGUUGGUCCUUGAAACUCUACAAGUCAUGCAAUACUGUAAUGGUAUUUGUGUGAUUCAAACUGAAGAUUUUGCUAAGGUCGAUAACGAGGCUUGUUUGUGAGUGUAAGGCUAGAUAUUUAAAGCAUAUUUAAUAUUAUGCUGUAUCAGUAAAUUUAGCUGUAGAAGAGUUUCUUGAAGGACUUCUCAUCUCAAAAGACAUGUGCAAUAGCUAGAUUUGCUGCAUAGGGCACACAUCAAUUUUCUUCCUGGCCAUAAUAUAGGUCUGUAUUACUCACCAAGGAUAUAAUGAAAAAUUGAUAUUUUCUUUGAGCACUAUGGCACUAAUACUUUUGCAAGAACUCAGAUUUGAC
ensembl:lncRNA